UACGAAGGGGGCUAGCGUUGCUCGGAAUUACUGGGCGUAAAGGGCGCGUAGGCGGACAGUUUAGUCAGAGGUGAAAGCCCAGGGCUCAACCUUGGAAUUGCCUUUGAUACUGGCAAUCUUGAGUCCGGGAGAGGUGAGUGGAACUCCUAGUGUAGAGGUGAAAUUCGUAGAUAUUAGGAAGAACACCAGUGGCGAAGGCGGCUCACUGGCCCGGAACUGACGACUGAGGUACGGAAAGCGAUGGGGA
rnacentral:rRNA from 1 species